rnacentral:rRNA from 1 species
UACGUAGGGUGCAAGCGUUAAUCGGAAUUACUGGGCGUAAAGCGUGCGCAGGCGGUUAUGCAAGACAGAUGUGAAAUCCCCGGGCUUAACCUGGGAACUGCAUUUGUGACUGCAUAGCUGGAGUACGGCAGAGGGGGAUGGAAUCCGCGUGUAGCAGUGAAAUGCGUAGAUAUGCGGAGGAACACCGAUGGCGAAGGCAG